ACACCGCAACCCCUCUUUCUCACUUCUCCGAAAAGCUUCAUCAAAAAUUUCAGUGCCGACGCUACAUCCUCCUACUCUAAACCGAGAAGUGAAAGAUUACCGUGUGUGAUUCAUUAAGGAUGUUUUAUUUUGUCUGCUAUUUAUUUCCCCCAUCUAUUGUCUCCCCACCCUCUCAGCGCAAGUCUCGGUGGAGCCGCAGCCCGGGCGCUCAGCGGCGAAGAGAUAAACGCAGAAAACGAAACUGGAAGAAAACAGACACGGGGUACCAGUCCACGGCCAAAGAGAGAUGAUUACACUGCAUCGCCAGCUUGCCUCAUCUGAAUCCCUGACUCCUGACCUCCCCUGAGGAAGGUGCUCACUGUCAGAAGAACCCCCAGCAUCCUACCGCCACAGAAAGGUGAUUCCUUUAAAGCGGCAGAAACGGAUGAGGGAGCGAGGGGGCUGCGUGAGGCGGGCAGACGGGGAGGGGAGCUGUCGCUUGUGUCAGGUUAACCUCAGAGACGCAUUCGGAGCUCAGCAUCUGGGAGAUGGAGGGGACGCACGUCGCUCCAUUUGGUGCAAGUGAGUUCUUGCAUUAAGCAUUCGCCUAUGGCUUUCAUCAGCUUUUCUUUCUUUCUUUCUUAUUCUUUUUUCAUCCUUUUUUCCAUUUAAUUUUUCCUUUAUUUCUAUGAUUCUUUUCUUUAAUUUCUUUUUCCUUUCUUUUUUUCCUCCCGUAUUUUCAUUAAUCAAUUAAAUUGCAUUUAAAUUGCAUUUGAAAGUUUUUUUUCUUUCUUUCUCUCUCUCUCUCUUUUUCUUUCUCUUUUUUUCUUUCUUUCUUUUAAGCCCCCCUCCCUCCCCCAAAAUAAAAAUAGGCUACAAUGCCAAAAUUUGUGCACUGUCAGUCCCGCGGGCUGCGUUUAUUCCCAGAUUUAUGUUAAUAGCACUGCUGUAUUAAGUUUUAGACAGAGAGGGAGGAAGAGAGAGAGCGAGCGCAAUGCAUGCAGAAAGGAAGAUGCUACUGAUGCUUCUGCAACACAUGUGUUAAGUCACUUCACACACCACAAUAACACCUGAACUUGCAGCAGCUGGCACUGUUAAACAUACACUCGCUCAUGGCAGCAACAGAUAGCAACAAAAGUCCUAAAUCUUUAAGGUGUAACAGCUGUUGGUCAUUAGCUGAACCAUGAAGGAAAAAAUACCAAUGAUGUUUUUUCUACAUUGGUGAGACUUACACUGUGUGACCUGUGUACGAAACUGCUGUUGUAACUGAAUAAAUCCUAAAUAGAGGCUUUUUGACGCAUAGUCGCCCCAGGUUCGAUUGCCAUCACAUGAAUCUUCAGGGGUUUUUGUGAGACACAGAUCUGUGCUGCCUGAUACAAGCAUUUCGCAUUAACAGUUAACUAUGCAUGAAUGUGGAACCCUUGUGGUUUCCGAGACCACUAUGAAUAAAGGAUGCCUUGCAAAAUAAAGCUUAAUAGAGUCACAAUAAUGAAGCUGAGAGUUUAAGUAGUGAACUCUGAAUGUAGAGACGGAUUUGACGUCAUGAGUGAGGUACGUUGGCGUUGUGUACAGAUGUUUGAUCACAGUUCUCAGAAUCAGUUAGCGCUUCCUGUCGGAUUUCUUGAAUAUAAGAUAUUUACCUACAAUGACUGGAGCCAGCAAUAUUUCAGUCAGUCAAGUAAUUAUUAAUCAUCACAUUGAAUAUGUGUGAAAAGCUAAAUUUCUGAAAUAAUGAAAUAUGAAUCGUUCAUGAAAUAACAUUUUUGUUUUAAGGGAUACAUUCCAGUUGUACUCCUAAACACUUUUUAGUGUGAAAUGAACUACUAUGCUAUAAAAAAAAUUCAAAACUUGGUUUUGCAAGUCAAGUUUACCAUUUUGACCUG